GCAGCUCAGUGGCAGAGUAGCUGUCUUGCGUGCAAAAGGUCCCAAGUUCAAUCCCUGGCAUCUCCA
rnacentral:tRNA from 1 species